rnacentral:rRNA from 1 species
UACGUAGGGGGCAAGCGUUGUCCGGAUUUAUUGGGCGUAAAGAGCUCGUAGGCGGUUCCGUAAGUCGAGUGUGAAAAAUCUGGGCUCAACCCAGUGGAGCACUCGAUACUGCGGUGACUAGAGUACGGUAGAGGAGUGUGGAAUUCCUGGUGUAGCGGUGAAAUGCGUAGAGAUCAGGAAGAACACCGGUGGCGAAAGCGCUCUGCUGGACCUAAACUGACACUGAGGGACGAAAGCUAGGGGAGCGAAUGGG